CCUCAUCUUUUCCCAAUUCAUUAUGCAUCUUCACGCAUCACUCUCUCCCCCUUCUCAAUUCCCCGUAACUCUCGUCCCUGCAAGGAUAUACUUCCUUCCGAAACACAAGAGGCUUUAGCAUCAUUUUCCGACUAUGAAAAGGAUCCUUUUUGAUAUGUCGACGACAGUGGUCAGGAAGGGGAGCAAUUGCUGAACCAGUGAGUUAACCGGAAAUCAGAUUCACCACAGCAAUGGUUUGCUUCCAUAUCUUUGAAUGCGUAUUAAUUGUGCUGUUUAUUUUAAUUAUUCCAGCUAUUGCAGCCAUAACAUCCUACAUAUAUCACCUUCGUAUCAUGAUUCCAUUUGUGAUUUUGGAUUUAAUUAUAGUGGGGAUCAUCCAUCAAUAUAGGGCAAAAAUCACCCGAAGGUAAUCGAGUUCUUAGCAAUCAAAUACUUCAAGAGAAUUAAUAGAGGUAUUUUUAUGGGCUUUAAGACUCUACUUACAAAAUAUCAUUGACCCCGAAUGCAUAAUUUGCGUCUUCACCCUACUGAACUAUUCGUAUUACCUGAUUUCCUUUGUUCUGUUUCUGAGACAUACUAAAGUUCUAAUUUUUCUGGAAUUUGCAUUAGAAAUAAAUGUCGUUAUUUUAGUACAUUUUUAGAAAAUUGAUUGAUAGUGGCAAAAAACUUAAAAGGUUAUGAAUAUGGAUUAUUUGGUCCAUCAAUUAAUACGCAUUGAAAGAUAUGGAAGCAAACCAUCGCUGUGGUGAAUCUGAUUUCCAGUUAACUCACCGGUUCAGCAAUUGCUCCCCUUCCUGACCACUGUUGUCGACACAUCAGAAAGGAUCCUGAAAGAGUCUGCAUACCAUUAAUCCUUCGUUCGUUAUUUUUGUGCUCUGCUUUUUUUUUUUUUCACCAACUUUAAAUCUCUUGUCACACUAGCAAAUCUUAUACAUAAAGAAUCUCACUUUUAAAAAAUUUAUAGUUGACUUAAAGCUUAAAAUUUAUAGUUGUAGUGGCAUAGAAUACAUAAAGAAUCUCACUUUCAAAAAAUUCUUCUUAGCAUUUCUCACUUUUUAGUCUUCGAAUAAGGUCUAAGGUGACCGUGGUGUGCAAAUUACUAAGACUCCGAGACAGCGACAAUUGGGAUGAAGAUCAUAGAUGCUCAAGUAUAUAUGUCGACAACUUGGCAUUUUAUGGAAACAAGCAUUAGUGUUGUGGCGCUAUUGAAUUGACAAAGCAAUUUGCAGGUGGAAUGGGAAAGUGUAACAUGUAUGUCAAGAAAAAAUAGUAUAUAUUAUACUAUGAAGCCACAAACUUAUCAACUCAUUUUUAGCAAAUUUUAAUAAGAUAAAUGGCAAGGAAAAGAUGAUACAUAUGAAAUAUCUUGGUUCCUUGCUAUAUUUCUUCCUUUA